UACGGAGGAUCCGAGCGUUAUCCGGAUUUAUUGGGUUUAAAGGGUGCGCAGGCGGGAGAUUAAGUCGGCGGUGAAAUUUUGCAGCUCAACUGUAAAAGUGCCUUCGAAACUGGUUUCCUUGAGUGUGGAUGAGGUAGGCGGAAUUUGUGGUGUAGCGGUGAAAUGCAUAGAUAUCACGAGGAACUCCGAUUGCGCAGGCAGCUUACUAAACCAUAACUGACGCUCAGGCACGAAGGCGUGGGGAUCAAACAGGAUUAGAUACUCGCGUA
rnacentral:rRNA from 1 species